CUGGAGUUGGAGCUCAGUGGCAGAGCACUUGCCUAGCACGUGUGAGGCACUGGGUUCAAUCCUUAGUACUGCAUA
rnacentral:tRNA from 1 species